rnacentral:rRNA from 1 species
ACGGAAGGCAGCAGUGGGGAAUAUUGCACAAUGGGGGAAACCCUGAUGCAGCGACGCCGCGUGAGUGAAGAAGUAUUUCGGUAUGUAAAGCUCUAUCAGCAGGAAAGAAGAUGACGGUACCUGACUAAGAAGCCCCGGCUAACUACGUGCCAGCAGCCGCGGUAAUACGUAGGGGGCAAGCGUUAUCCGGAUUUACUGGGUGUAAAGGGAGCGUAGACGGCUUUGCAAGUCUGAAGUGAAAGCCCGGGGCUCAACCCCGGAACUGCUUUGGAAACUGUAGAGCUAGAGUGCAGGAGAGGUAAGUGGAAUUCCUAGUGUAGCGGUGAAAUGCGUAGAUAUUAGGAGGAACACCAGUGGCGAAGGCGGCUUACUGGACUGUAACUGACGUUGAGGCUCGAAGGCGUGGGGAGCAAACAGGAUUAGAUACCCUGGUA